rnacentral:rRNA from 1 species
GGUCCAGACUUUGAUCAUGGCUCAGGACGAACGCUGGCGGCGUGCUUAACACAUGCAAGUCGAACGAAGCUUGAUUACGGAAUUCUUCGGAAAGAAGUAUGAUAUGACUUAGUGGCGGACGGGUGAGUAACGCGUGAGUAACCUGCCUUUCAGAGGGGGAUAACGUUUGGAAACGAACGCUAAUACCGCAUGAAAUAUAUUUAAGGCAUCUUAGAUAUAUCAAAGAUUUAUCGCUGAGAGAUGGACUCGCGUCUGAUUAGAUAGUUGGUGAGGUAACGGCUCACCAAGUCGACGAUCAGUAGCCGGACUGAGAGGUUGAACGGCCACAUUGGGACUGAGACACGGCCCAGACUCCUACGGGAGGCAGCAGUGGGGAAUAUUGCACAAUGGGCGCAAGCCUGAUGCAGCAACGCCGCGUGAGGGAAGACGGUCUUCGGAUUGUAAACCUUUGUCUUUGGUGAAGAAGAAAGUGACGGUAGCCAAGGAGGAAGCCACGGCUAACUACGUGCCAGCAGCCGCGGUAAUACGUAGGUGGCAAGCGUUGUCCGGAAUUACUGGGUGUAAAGGGAGCGCAGGCGGGACAGCAAGUUGGAUGUGAAAUACCGAGGCUUAACCACGGAGCUGCAUCCAAAACUGUUGUUCUUGAGUGAAGUAGAGGUAGGCGGAAUUCCGAGUGUAGCGGUGAAAUGCGUAGAUAUUCGGAGGAACACCAGUGGCGAAGGCGGCCUACUGGGCUUUAACUGACGCUGAGGCUCGAAAGUGUGGGGAGCAAACAGGAUUAGAUACCCUGGUAGUCCACACUGUAAACGAUGAUUGCUAGGUGUGGGGGGUCUGACCCCCUCCGUGCCGGAGUUAACGCAAUAAGCAAUCCACCUGGGGAGUACGGCCGCAAGGUUGCAACUCAAAUGAAUUGACGG